UGAAUUGAAGUGAGUAUGGCAGCUACAUCAUAAAUGGGACUUCGUUGGUUUUGAAGAAUAUCUAAGCAUAUACUUUCAUCUGCGUAUACUGUAUAACAAAUAUGAAAAAUAUUUCAUCAAAUGGCAUUUUUAGUCUAUAGAUUUUUUUAGGUGAUUUUUGAAAACCCACUGUUAGGAUAGAACAUGCGAGACACAAAGCGAACAGUAGGCGGCUUGUUAGGGUAAUCCUCUGUGAAUAGCAUUAGCAUUUUAAACGUGCAUGGAAAUACAAACAAAAAGCUAAGAGAGGGAUGGAUAAAUACAAACGUGAUGGGAGAAUUUUGAUGAACAAAGCCAAUAAACAUCGUGAAUGUGUAGUGAUUCUUGAUUGGGUGUGAAAAUUCUUCCAUGCAAAAAAUGAAACUACCGUAAACACAGACAAGGAAAUCAGAACAAUGAUUAAUGACAAUGAUUUUGUUAUAAUUAGCAUACAAUUUGAAAAAUUUAAUACUCAAAAAGAUUGAGAUAAAGCCAAUGGAACCAAAUCCAAUAAAAAAAACAAGGAAGCAAACAACAAUUUCUUCAAUAAUCUGAUAACAAAAAAACAUCCCCCUCUGUUAAAACCACCGACCAAAUGGUGGGUAGGUAGAGUAAAUCAAUUUCUAAUUUCAAGAAAUAAUCAUAACCAUCAUCAGAAUCCAGAAGUUAUUGUGAAAUUUGAAAAUAUCAUAAGUUAUUGCAACUUGUAACCCAUAGAAUCUGAGAAUAUCGUAAAAUGAUCAACCCCUGACUAGUUAUGCAUGCUUGGAGCCAGAACUUCAGUCCAAGCAAGAAUUGUAAAACCCCUAAAUUAAACCAUGAACAGAAAAAGAAAAGGGAGGGAAGGAAGGAAGGAAGGAAAAAGAAACAAAAACUCACCUCCAUCCCAAGACGUGUCAUCAGGGCUGCAAUCGAAUCAUCAAAAAAAGGAAAAUGAAAAAUAGACAACCUAUCAUUUCCCAAAAAUACUUUUUUCCCCAAAAUAAAUGAAACAAAUCCUAAAACAAAGAAGAAAAGAAGAAACAAUUGCAUACAUACCCAAAAAUCACGGCGUUCCAACUUCCAAUUCAUAAUAUUGUUAUCUUGCGGCGCCUUGCUGGUCUCAGCAGGCGGAUCCUGCUGCAACCGUUUGAAAUCCCUCAUCAGCCUCUUUCUUGACGACCCUCUCACUACUCAUUGCUACUCCCACCCCUUCUCUCUCCUCUGGAGAAUGGAACGUACCAGAAAACGAGAAGAGUGUGGGUAUGGCCUCUAGGUUGUAGGCUUUAGGUGUGAGGGCUGAGUUAAGAUAUUUACGACACUGUGUUUUAACUGGCACGUCUCUUUUAAAC
rnacentral:lncRNA from 1 species